GCAGCCGCAAACAGCAAACAAUUGCAGCGCGGCGUUGAUGGUCUCUGGGGUUUGUUAACACGGCCAUUAGACGGCCAGGCCGGCCCGGGGAUCAGGUUUAGCCUCUGCGCCGAGAGAUUGGCUGGGAUUCUUGGGUUGCUAGACAAGCGCGUGAGUCUGUAGGAGAUCUCGAUCGAGACCGAGCCGAGUAGCAGUCGCAGACUCAGACUGAGGCAGUUAACGAUGAUUGCCAACCGGUUUGGAUGGAAAACCCGUUUGUCUGUUGCUGUAUUUUAGCAUUUUCAAUGUCAUGAGUUCGGACAGACGGGCAGAGUAAGUGCGUGCUGGUCGGCGCACUCGGCGAAAAAAAAAAAACCACAUAAGCCUCCUACCAACUGAGAAAACAUCAGCCCCAAACAUUAACCCAAAAUCGGAGGAGCUUAGAACUGAUACGCCCCAGUAGAGCAUAACUAUCAGGGCGAUCGUCGUCAUCAUCAGUGGUUCGGUUCUGGCUCCAGAACCACAUCCGUGAGGCGCUCGGCACUCGGUUCUAAACAGUUCUGCGGUUGUGCCGCCGCGUUUGCCUUUCAAGCGAUGGCGCGUCAUGGGGCACAAGUGGCAGCCGAACAAUCAGCGAGCCAGGAAUUGAGGCAAAACUCUGAUUGAAUCACCAGGGAGCAGCAUGACUGGAUCGUGGUUUUACGACCCAAGACAGAUUAUCCCGUUCUUCUGAGUCACAUUAACCCUACAGACACUGCCUUCUACUCGUAUUAACCCUAUACUUCCUCCCACUUUACAUAUCACGUGGGUUUGAACUUCUAACCGUGUCAGAAAUUUUUAUUUUUUUUUUCAAUUUUCUUGAAAAAUGAUUAUUUUUAUAGACUAUUAAAAAUUGUAAAUAAAUAUAAGCAAUUGAAAAAUUUUUACUUGAUUCUUUACUUUCAAUAGCUCUGCUUUUGUUUUAUAUCACUACUAUUAUUUAAUUUCCAUUAACAAGUGAGUUCGAACCAGAACCAAUUGAAUUCUGUUUAUACUUUAUUUUAUUUUCUUUUAAAUCGCCUGAAAAUAUAGUUUAUUUUGUCAUUGACUUUGACGGAUUCUAAAUAAAGAUAAACUAUUGAACA